GACGAACCGUGCGAACGUUGUUCGGAAUAACUGGGCUUAAAGGGCGCGUAGGCGGGCUGCCAAGUUCGGGGUGAAAUCCUCCCGCUCAACGGGAGAACUGCCCCGAAUACUGGCGGUCUCGAGGGAGGUAGGGGCGUGCGGAACUAUGGGUGGAGCGGUGAAAUGCGUUGAUAUCCAUAGGAACUCCGGUGGCGAAGGCGGCACGCUGGACCUCUUCUGACGCUGAGGCGCGAAAGCCAGGGGAGCAAACAGG
rnacentral:rRNA from 1 species